rnacentral:lncRNA from 1 species
ACAACCCCCUCUCUAGUAAUAUAUUGAAUGCAUGACUAACCACAUCAUUCAUUCUCUCUUUAACAUCCAUGAUGUCAUAAUCUUUUGCAACAAAACAGUAAGGGUAUAUUCCUGUGUGCAGACCUUUGGAAAUAACCACAGGGAGUCAGACUACCGAAGCACAGUCAAGCAAUAAAUCUACCAGCAAUUUUUGUUUUCUCCAUGAGCAGAUGUACAGUGAAAGUAGAGUGCCGUUCAACCAGAGCUAGCUGUAUUAGCUGCUGCUGAAAACUUUACAGGAGGAAAUAUUCUCAGUGAAAGUUUAUGUACAUCAUGGGAAGAGGGGACUCAAGUCAGCGCGGCUCUUGCUUCCAAGCUGCUCACGUGCUCGCAUGUCAGCAUCCGUGGGAAUGUCAUCUUGGCUCCGGGGCUACAGAUUUAUUGCUUGGCCACCAGAGGGUACCAGAGUUUUCUAAUGAAGGAAAAAACAGUCCUGAGGUCAAAGCAUACCUAUUGUUUCCUUCCAUUUCCCACCGAAGCUGA